CCAUGGCAUUCCAAGCCACACUUUGGAGUGGGCAGGGGUUUGGCCCAUAGCCAACCCAGGCAGGGGGUGACCUUCCUUCUGGAAGGUAUCAAGUGAAUGAACUUUAGGGAAGAAAGGUCAAUUGCUGGUCCACAGCGCUGAAGCAGAAAAGCCAGUUUCCGACUAUAUCCACAGUGAGAGUUGCCUUCUCUAGUCAGCCUGGCAGUCACUGGCCCCACUGUUGGCGUGCUAUUCCACUCUAUAAGGCCACUAAACCUUGAGUUCCUAGAGAACAGGGAUGCAUUCUCUUCGUCACUUUGGUAGCCUCAGUUCCAUAGCAAAUGCCCUCUCUCUGAACUUCUCCACCUCAUCCUUAAAAUCUGAGCACACCUAUCGCUUUCUCAGAGAAGUCCAACAGUUUGAGGGCCAGGGCAGAGCUCUACCAGAGCAGAGCAUCAAGAGUGGGUCUGAUGGCUCCGAGAAGCGGCAGGAUCUUGCAAGGCUGUGUUGAACAUUUUACUUUGACCAAAGGACAAGGAGAACUCCCUGUAGACAGUCUUAAAGCAGAAGAGUAACAGGCGCAAACUUGUACUUGAAUAAUAUUUGAAAGAGAGGAGAGUCCAUUUCCCAAAGUGCUUCCCUCCCCUACUUGUCACAGAGCCUACAAUAACACCAUUAAAAAUUGACUUAUUUUUGUUAUGCACAAUCCUAUCUAGACAUUCUCUUCUGAAACAUAAAUACUCUUGGAAGGACUAAUCCCUUAAGUAAUAAACAACUUGGAGAGGGUUUUUAAAUUAGAUAGUUUCCUGCUAACUAAAGAGACUUAAGAAAGCCUAAGUUCUUCAGGUGAGGAAUGCUAGAGGGAUACAAGGUGGGGGGAAGAUGAGAGGGUAGUGAGGAGUAGUUAUGUCAAGGGCUGAGCCUAGGAGGAAAGGUGGGGGCCAUGGCAGCCAGUCAAGACGCCAUAUUGCUUCAAAGCACCAAAGGGAGAGUUACCUGGAAAAGAUAUGGAGAAAUUGAACUUUGAUAUGAACACUAUUCUUAUUACACCAGAUAGAAAUGUCACAAUAUGGAUAAAAUGGACAAAUUACUGAAAAAUACAAUCUAACAACACUCAAGAAGAAAUAGAUAACCAAAAUAGGCCUACAUCUAUUAAAGAAAUUGAAUAUGCAAUUAAAAACCUUCUGAUAUAGUUUGGAUGUUUGUCCUCUCCAAAUCUCGUGUUGAAAUGUAGUCCCUAAUGUUGGAGGUGGGGCCUGGUGGGAGGGGUUUGGAUCAUGGAUCCUUCAUGAAUGUCUUGGUGCCAUCCUCCCCAGUAAUGAGUGAAUUCUCAGUUAUGAGUUCACACAAUAUCUGGUUGUUUGAAAGAGUCUGGAACUUCCUCCUCCUUCUCUCUUGUUCCUUCUCUCACCAUGUGAUUCAGGGACCGCUUCAUCUUCUGCCAUGACUGGAAGCUUCCUGAGGCCCUCAACAGAAGCAGAUGCUGGCACUAUGCUUCAUGUACAGCCUACAGAACCAUGAGCCAAAUAAAUCUCCUUUCUUUAUAAAUUA
ensembl:lncRNA novel transcript, antisense to SLC22A16